rnacentral:lncRNA from 1 species
CACAGGCUCAGGAGGGUUGAAUAACUUGACCACGGUCAAAUGGCCAGUAAAUGGUAGAGCCAGAAUCCAACUCAGGUAGUUCAGUAUGGAGCCUGAGCUUUUAAGAGGAGGGGAGGAAAAUGCUUUGGAGUAACGUUUCUAAAUGAAAUACUGCAUUUUUGACAGCAGACAGUACUGUCUGCUGCCUUCCUUGGUGAGCUAACACCAACUUGAAACAAUUGCUCCCUCCCCAGGCAGCAUCUGCUUUGGUUCUCCAAGGAAAUUGAUUCACUCUGUGGAGACUCUCUUUGGGAGAGGCCAAAGUUCCUUACAGCUUCUGGGAUCACAAAACCCUUUUCAACAAGAUCCCUUAGGCCCAGGCUCCUAAAAACUGUGUAAUAAAUUUACCAUCAAAACAAUCUCACUUGAUCCCUCUGAGACCAUCAUGCUACAAACAAAGGCUGAGCUCAUUGAUGAAGAAGUCUUGAGUUCAUCAUUUUUUCUUCUCUAAUAGCUGAGAUGGCAGUCAAUGAGAGUGACUGCAGAAAGUUUCAGAAGGACACAUGGGAAUCAUUUAACCAGGCCAAUAAAAUCAGCUAUUUAUACACUUCCCCCGGAAGACAUAGCCCUUGCUUCACUGUCUGAAGGAGAGAAAAUGCAAAAGGUCCAUCGAUAUAUACAUAUAAGAAUUUUUCCAUUAGAAUGCUACACAGUCAGUGGCCAAAAGCCUGUUGGAAAGAGUGUGGGCUUAGAUGACAUCAAGACAUACAGUUUUAGAACCUACUGGCCUUAUCUCUUCACAUAUUUUGAAGUCUAAAAAAGGAUCUCACUGUCCUGAAAUCAGAAAUUUGCAAAAAUCAUCAUCUCCAUCUUCUACUACUGACUAUAAACAUUUUACCUUGUGUAAGCAAUGACCACAAUAGUUCCAAAGAAGGAGUUUUAAACAAAAGAAUGCAUGUGGGGCUCAAUUUUUAGCUCCCACCCAUUACCAGAAAGAGAUGAUCUCUCCCUACAUCCAUCAUGCAGAUUUUUCCAGAGUCUAAAAAUUCUAAGCAGGUAGUAGCAAAUUUAUCAUACAGAUCAGUAGUUUAUAAUAUUGAAAGUGAAAACAACAAUGAAUAUAGCAUAUUUUUUGCUAUCAGAUUGACAAAAAGUGACAGUUUCACUGGGAAAAGUGUGGAGAAACAGGCAUUGGCAGAUGCUGUAGGUGACAUAAAAUAGUAGGGCAAUUUGCUAAUAAUCUGUUAACAUUUUUAAUAUACAUUAUUCCUAACCCAGAAGUUUCACCUCUAGGAAUUUUUCUUACAGAAAUACUCAUACGAGCGCACCAAGGUAUAUUUGUACAUGGUUGCUCAUUGCCACGUGGCUUGUAGGAGCAAAAAAUUGGAAACGACCCAAAUAUCAGUCAGAAGGUAGCUGCUAAAAAUAAAUCCUGAUAUACACACAUUUAACUGGUAUAACUUGCUUUACCAGCUUGGACACAAAUGAGGUUACAUCUUUUUUAUUUUUUCAAAUUACAUUAGGCCCAAACAUCUAUGUGCCAGAUUAGUGCCAGAGGAAGUCCACUGCCUGUCUCCUCUCUUAAGGCCUCUUCUCUCUCCCUGAAUUGUCCAAACACCCUGGGGCUUUUACUCCUUGCAAAGCAGCGAGUCUUGCUUCUAAAUGCCUCCUGGAGAGAAAACUAGAGAAUCUGAUUAGUCUAUUAGGAGCCUUAUUUUCAACGUCUGUUGCUUCUGUUUGCCAUACUGUGACUGUUGAAAGCUGCAAAAGUAAUAAAUAGGGAGUAGUGUUGUAAAAUAAAGAUGGGGG